rnacentral:rRNA from 1 species
GGCACUUUUAAAAAAUCCAUAUCCACCUUGUGUGCAAUGUCAUCUCACUGGAGGCCAGCGGCUGUAAAAAGCCCGUUUGGUCACCUUUGGGAUUUAUAUCUACUCAGAACUUUAGUGAUUUUGUCUGAAAAAUAUUAUGAAUAACUUAAUUCAAAAUACAACUUUCAACAACGGAUCUCUUGGCUCUCGCAUCGAUGAAGAACGCAGCGAAAUGCGAUACGUAAUGUGAAUUGCAGAAUUCAGUGAAUCAUCGAAUCUUUGAACGCAUAUUGCGCUCUCUGGUAUUCCGGAAGGUACACCUGUUUGAGUGUCAUUAAAUUCUCAACCAUUCAGCCUUUUCGGAGGCUUGUCUGGCUUGGAUGUGAGGGUUGCGGGCUGCUUCACGGCGGUCGGCUCCCUUUAAAUACAUUAGCUGGGGAAUAGUACAUGGUUCAAGUGCUUCGAUGCUUGAAGGUCUCCUGGUGUGAUAAUUAUCUACGCCGUUGACUUAGUCGUUGCUUGUAUUGGCCGUAGAAUUUCUCUGCUUCUAACUGUCUCGCAAGGGACUAGUCCGCUCUAGGGCUAUAACGACUAUUGUGACCUCAAAUCAGGUGGGACUACCCGCUGAACUUAAGCAUAUCAAUAA